UGGCGAACGGGUGAGUAACACGUGGGUGAUCUGCCCUGCACUCUGGGAUAAGCCUGGGAAACUGGGUCUAAUACCGGAUAGGACCAUGCUUUAGUGUGUGUGGUGGAAAGUUUUUUCGGUGUAGGAUGAGCCCGCGGCCUAUCAGCUUGUUGGUGAGGUAAUGGCCUACCAAGGCGGCGACGGGUAGCCGGACUGAGAGGUUGGUCGGCCACAUUGGGACUGAGAUACGGCCCAG
rnacentral:rRNA from 1 species